rnacentral:misc_RNA from 1 species
AUCAUUUGUUGCAAUACACUAAAGAAAAUGUUGCUAACAUAAUUACUUGGUGUAAUGUUUGCGUUUAGUCAUAAUAUUUCGUUCUGAUAUUCAUCAAGAGUGUUAAUGCAUAAUCUGCAAAGAGAAGAUUUUUAUGUCUUUAAUUGUGGUUGUGUUCUAGUAUGGAACACUUUAGUUUCUGACAAAGCUUCAGCCUUAAUAAUAGUUUGGUGGAGCUUGCUAUCUUUAUGGUGAUGUGAUCGUUUGCACAUCCUGCCAUCACAACAUGUUUCUAAAAGAAAAGGUACAGAAGCUUUGUUGUCUUUAUGGUG